GGCGCAAUCGAUUGCUCGGUGCUCCGCGCCCUCCCCUGGCAGCCCGGCACUAGGGGCUCCGGGAGCUAGCGGGGGCCUGCAGGGUGCGGAAAUCGAUUCGCUCUGCCCCACCCCAAGCGCAGGCCGGCCCCGCGGAAUCCGCGUUCACCCCCGGCGCCGCCAAGGCCGCGGCUACGGGAAGCGGCGAGGGACGCGACCCGCGCGCUAGGCCGGCCGCCAUGUUGCGGUGGCUGAUGGGAGGCAGCCGGGAGCCGCAGGGGCUAGCAGAGAAAUCGUCUGUGCAGACCAUAGGUGAAGAACAAAUUCAGAAUCCUUACACUGAGCUCCUUGUGCUAAGAGGUCAUCAAGAUAUAGUGCGAUUUCUAGUACAGAUAGAUGAAUAUCGAUUUGCAUCUGCAGGAGAUGAUGGAAUUAUAUUUUUGUGGAAUGCUCAGACUGGAGAAAAACUAUUUGAGCUACAUGGACACACACACAAAAUUACAGCUGUUACAGCCUUUCCUUCACCUAGUGCUUGUGAAGAUGAAAAACAUUUGAUCUUAACAGCAUCUGCUGAUAGGACAGUUAUUGUUUGGGAUUGUAAUAGUGGCAGGCAAGUUCAGAAAGUAACUUCCUUCCACUCUACUGUGAAGUGUUUGACGGUUCUUCAAAGACUGGAUGUAUGGUUGUCUGGAGGGAGUGAUCUGUGUGUUUGGAACAGAAAAUUAGAUCUCUUGUGUAAGACUAGUCAUCUUACUGAAGCAGGUGUCAGUGCUUUGGUUGAGUUGCCUAAAACCUGCAUUGCAGCAGCUGUUGGCAAGGAAUUGACCAUUUUUAGGUUGAUUGCUUCCACCAAUGAAUCAGAAAGUUGGGAUGUUAUUGAAGUGAAACGCCUGGUUGACCAUCAGGAUAACAUCCUGUCAUUGAUCAAUGUCAAUGAUUUGACUUUUGUUACUGGUUCUCAUGUGGGUGAGCUGAUAGUUUGGGAUGCAUUGGAUUGGACAAAGCAGGCAUCUGAAUGUGGCUUCUGGGAUUCCUCUCUUCACACAGACACGCAGCAGGAAAUCAAGUUAACGCAAAACCAAAAAGAAAUAUCAAUUCAAUGUCUAGCAUCUGAUGUGGAGUGUGUGUUUGCAGCUGUUGGGAAGGGAAUAUAUGUAUAUAAUCUUCAAAUGAAGCGUGUGAUUGCCUGCCAGAGAACAGCUCAUGACUCCAGUGUGCUGCACAUCACAAAACUUCCAAACAGGCAGCUGCUAUCAUGUUCAGAGGAUGGCAGUAUUCGUAUUUGGGAGCUACGAGAAAAGCAGCAGCUUUCAGCUGAGCCUGUUCCAACAGGCUUUUUCAACAUGUGGGGAUUUGGAAGGGCCAACAAGCAAGCAAACCAAAGUGCCAAAAAGACUCAAGAAAGUUUGACUUUGUAUUCCUUGGAGCUUAUUGGUGACCUGAUUGGUCACUCAUCAGCUGUGCAGAUGUUCCUGUUCUUUGGUGAACUUGGACUGGUGACAUGCUCUGCUGACCAUCUGAUUAUUUUGUGGAAAGAUGGAGAGAGAGAGUCUCAGCUGCGCAGUCUGACAUUAUUUCAGAAACUAGAGCAAAAUGGUGAUUUGCAACUUAGGUUCUAAGUUGAUUGUCAGAGAGGAGAGGAAACAACAACACAGAGCCUAGAAGAUGCAAUGAACACAUUCAAGGCCCACAAAGGUGAAGCCAAGCAGCACACAAUCAUACACUGAACAGCUGCACAUUCUGCAUAAUGCGUGCCAUCUCAUUUUAUCAACUGGCAUGUUGCUGUAUUAUCACAUACAAAAUAAUACUGUAACCUAUAAACAGUGGUGAUGCCCACCUUAAUCUACAAGCUCUGCUUGCAAUGCCACUGCCAAGGACACACAAGCUACUGAGGUAGGCAGCCGCCGAUGCAUGAACUGACAGGAUUAUGAAUGCCCUCAGGGACUGUGAGCAUUGGCUGCGUGAGAUGGUGGGUCAUCUGGUUAUGAGCAGAUUCAUGGCUAUCUAGCACGAAAAGAGCUGCACUGAGUCCAAGAGGCAUUCCAAGACCCGGGAGGACUGGCAAAUAAUGACGAGGCUCCUGGCAACGAUUUUAUGCCUGUUGGUCACUGGCCUCACUCCUACCCCUGCCCCUGCCAGGAAGUCAUGGAGGCAGGUGCAGAUCUGUCCUCUGCCACCCACAACUUCUCUGUCAAGAUCUGAAAGUCCACCUUAGAGCCAAGUUCUUUUACUUAGAAAUGAUUACUGCUUAGAUUGAUUUUUUUCAUGCUUUAUGCACCGUUAUGGUAGUAAAAAGAAAUUCCUGUUAUGUAGUAAUUAUGCAUCAUUAUCUUAUAAAAGUUGUUCUGUGGUUUGUUUAAUUUUGUUUAAUUUUUGGUUUGUAAAUAAAGGUUUCUAUUUGCUUUGUUCGA